UCCGGUAUAGUGUAACGGCUAACAUAUCGCGUUUUCAUGUACCUAGCGUGGAGAAAACACCGCGGGGCUCGGGGUUCGAUUCCCCGUACCGGAG